rnacentral:rRNA from 1 species
UAAACUUCUGUCAUUAGAGAACAAGUGCCGCCGAGUAACUACCGGCGGCUUGAUAGUAUCUGAAGAGGAAGGGACGGCUAACUCUGUGC